GAUGAACGCUGGCGGCGUGCCUAAUACAUGCAAGUCGAGCGAACGGACGAGAAGCUUGCUUCUCUGAUGUUAGCGGCGGACGGGUGAGUAACACGUGGAUAACCUACCUAUAAGACUGGGAUAACUUCGGGAAACCGGAGCUAAUACCGGAUAAUAUUUUGAACCGCAUGGUUCAAAAGUGAAAGACGGUCUUGCUGUCACUUAUAGAUGGAUCCGCGCUGCAUUAGCUAGUUGGUAAGGUAACGGCUUACCAAGGCAACGAUGCAUAGCCGACCUGAGAGGGUGAUCGGCCACACUGGAACUGAGACACGGUCCAGACUCCUACGGGAGGCAGCAGUAGGGAAUCUUGCGCAAUGGGCGAAAGCCUGACGGAGCCACGCCGCGUGAGUGAUGAAGGUCUUCGGAUCGUAAAACUCUGUUAUUAGGGAAGAACAUAUGUGUAAGUAACUGUGCACAUCUUGACGGUACCUAAUCAGAAAGCCCCGGCUAACUACGUG
rnacentral:rRNA from 1 species